AACAAUAACAAUACGGCGCGCCGCCGUUCCGGCCCCGGAGACGAUGGAAACCAAAUUACCGUCGUCGUCGUCGCCGCCGCCGAUGACGAUGGCGCGAAGCUCGCCGGAACAACCAGAGUGAAGGGCGAAUGUAAGACGUCUUCUCGGGCGACGAGGAACACACGGACCCCGAACAAAACGUACAUACCGACAAUUGAAGUUUGAAUUCACUAUAUCGGGACACGGAUAUAACGCCGGUGAACCGACGGCCCCGGACCGUGACGGACUGCAGGAUUAUCGACUUUAUACCACGGUGGUUGGUGAGCCAAUGUGACUUUUUUCCGAUACCUGAUAUUCGAAUAUCGAUACCGAUAAAAACCGUCAGG